GAUGAAGAACGCAGCAAAAUGCGAUAAGUAAUGUGAAUUGCAGAAUUCAGUGAAUCAUCGAAUCUUUGAACGCACAUUGCACCCGCCAGUAUUCUGGCGGGCAUGCCUGUUCGAGCGUCAUUUCAACCCUCAAGCACAGCUUGGUGUUGGGACUCGCGUUAAUUCGCGUUCCUCAAAUUGAUUGGCGGUCACGUCGAGCUUCCAUAGCGUAGUAGUAAAACCCUCGUUACUGGUAAUCGUCGCGGCCACGCCGUUAAACCCCAACUUCUGAAUGUUGACCUCGGAUCAGGUAGGAAUACCCGCUGAACUUAAGCAUAUCAAUAAGCGGAGGA
rnacentral:misc_RNA from 1 species